rnacentral:lncRNA from 1 species
AUGUCACAGGUGAAAGGAUGCGAUUUCAUGAAUGUGAUCUCAUCAUAGAAGAUGCUUAACUUAUCUUGGUAGGAGGCUUUCUCUUCCUUACAGACUUUGAAGAAGCGUUCUGCCAUGUCAUAAGAUUUUGUAGGGAGAAUAGCACACAGAGGAGCUGAGGGUGGCUCCCAGCCACAAGACACUGAGUCUUGGUCUAGCAGCCUGCAAAGAACUGAAUGCUGCCAACGAGAGCCUCAUGAGAAUGCAUAGUAAAGGUUAUGAUUUCAUUACACAGAUGACUAUGACCUUCACCGAGAACUUGUACUAUGACAAAACCUCUCAAUCCCAGGGCACACUAUAGGUGUUUUGUCUGGACUACCGUAAAGAUAAAAAUCUCUGUUUUCAAGUAAAAGUCAGAUUAGAGAAGAACUAUGAGUCAUUGACCAGUGAUGUUGUCCUUACUUCAUGGCUGGGGGCGCGGGUGGGUAUCAGUCUCCAAUUUCUCAGACCUUUCUAGUUUAGAAAAGUGUGUUAAGACAUGGAUCAGAUGUUUAAUAGAUUUGAGGAUGGUGCUGCCAAUGGCAGUGAGGAACAUGAUUAGAUAAACUUCCACUGAUUUUUAACAUUCACGUUCUUCUUGAGAGAUGGGGAGUGAACACAAAAAUCAACAGUAAUCACAGCAAAACUUAACUUCCUAAGAGGGAGUUGCUAACAUAGGGAGGAAAACAAAAGAACAAUUUCAUUCCUUGCUAAUCUAGAAAUCAAAUACUGUAAUUCUCCGGUCUCAGAAAUUUGGCAGUCUGGUUUCUUCUGAACAAAGAUGUAUUAGCAAUUUGAGCCUUUUGCUAUGGAGACCUCAUGACGCUCAUAAAACAUUCCAUUGUGGUUUCUCAAGUGAGAUAGGGAGUCGUUUCUUAAGAAAUAAGAAAUUGGCAUUAUCUCAAGAAAAGAAGAACUUACAGAAAUGUGUUAACAUCAGCUUUUCUGAGAACAUGGGAAAUGUCAUAAUAGGUUCAAAGCAGUAGGCUUUCUAACUGGGAAUUCUGUGUUACAUGGCAGCACCAAAGGCUAUUUCUUGAACCACUAAAAGUCAUCCACUGUUUACUAAACAUACAUCCUGUAACUAAACUUUCCCCUAAUUAUUUUCAUCAGUCUAUUUUUCAAAACCGAAUUAAACCCUUCUUGAAAUUGACUAAAAAUUAUACUAAGUUAACAUAUCAUACUCAUAGCCAUACAGCAUAUACUUAUACACUGAACCUCAGAUAAUAAGAGUCACAAUUUUAAGUAUUGACUAAACAGAAAACUGGAAUAAAUAAAACAAUGCAAUUUAAAUUCUGACUUUAAAAAUCUGUAAUCAUAUUUCAUUUUAACUACACAAGUGAUAAAUGCAGAUGCAGCUCUACAAUACCACUUUCUCAUCAUACUCAACCUUCAUGUUCUGUGCUCUGUGUCCUAUUUAAUCUUUUUUUUCUUUUUAUGGCCAAUCCCAUGGUAUAUGGAAGUUCUCAGCCAAGGGUCAAAUUGGAGCUGCAGCUGAGGCCUAUGCCACAGCCACAGCAACACCAGAUCCGAACCACCUCUGCAACAUACACCUCAGUUCGUGGCAAUGCCAGAUCCUUAACUCACUGAGCGAGGCCAGGGAUCAAACCCACAUCCUCCCAGAGACAACGUCAGGUCCUUAACCCACUGAGCCAGAAUGGGAACUCUAAUAAACCUUUUACUUACAAAAAAAAUUAUAAAGAUGUUGCAUAUAGUAUCUUAUGUAAGCCUUAUUAAUGUACUGUUUAUAUUUGCAUCUAAAGUUCACCUGUUAAUUGUGAAUGUUAUAUGGUAUGUCUUUCUACCAAGGCCCUCUGAUAUCUUCUCUGCUGUAAAAAGUCUAUUUCUGGACUCUAUUCAAGUAGAAUAUUUAUUUGUCCUCCUGCCAACAUGAUGCUGUUUUAAUAUUUAUGUUGUUCAUAAUAUGUCUUGAUAUCUGGUAAUGUACAUCCUUCAGGUUGGUUCUUCUUCUUGAAGACAGCCAUCAGUAUUUCUGGUCUGACAUAUUGUGCAGUCCUUUGAAUUACUCAUGGUUAUCUUUCUCUCCCUUGUGGUAGGAUUAUCCAUUCACAUCCUUGCCAUGGCCUCAAGGUUGGCAAUGUGUAUUUUCAUUUUCUUUGGGCUUGGCUGUAUGACUUGAUGUUACUGCUAGGACACUGGCAGAUAGGAGAUGAACAAGGGCUUUAUCGUUGGCUUCCUACUUUUGCAAUCCUGAUAUCAUCACAAGAAAGAACAUAACCUGGGCAGAUGGUGCCUUCCAGCCAGGAUUCCAAACAGACCAAAGCAGAUGAAUCAAAACUGCUCCAACUGACCUGUAAACCUGAGCCUAAAGCAGAAUCUCCCUAGACCUGCCAGGGUAAAUGUUGGCUUC